rnacentral:rRNA from 1 species
UACGGGGGGGGGCAAGCGUUGUUCGGAAUUACUGGGCGUAAAGGGCUCGUAGGUGGCCAACUAAGUCAGACGUGAAAUCCCUCGGCUUAACCGGGGAACUGCGUCUGAUACUGGAUGGCUUGAGUUCGGGAGAGGGAUGCGGAAUUCCAGGUGUAGCGGUGAAAUGCGUAGAUAUCUGGAGGAACACCGGUGGCGAAGGCGGCAUCCUGGACCGACACUGACACUGAGGAGCGAAAGCAUGGGGAGCGAACAGG